AACGAACGCUGGCGGCAGGCCUAACACAUGCAAGUCGAACGAACCUUUUAGGUGAGUGGCGCACGGGUGCGUAACACGUGGGAAUAUACAUUUCGGUAAGGAACAACACAGAGAAAUUUGUGCUAAUACCUUAUAAUGACUCCGGUCCAAAGAUUUAUCGCCGAAAGAUUAGCCCGCGUUAGAUUAGUUUGUUGGUGAGGUAAGAGCUCACCAAGACUACGAUCUAUAGGGGGUCUUAGAGGAUGAUCCCCCACACUGGAACUGAGACACGGUCCAGACUCCUACGGGAGGCAGCAGUGAGGAAUAUUGCGCAAUGGAGGAAACUCUGACGCAGCCAUGCCGCGUGAAUGAAGAAGGCCCUAGGGUUGUAAAAUUCUUUCAGAUGCGAAGAUAAUGACGGUAACAUCAGAAGAAGCUCCGGCUAAAUUCGUGCCAGCAGCCGCGGUAAUACGAAUGGAGCGAGCGUUGUUCGGAAUCAUUGGGCGUAAAGCGUAUGUAGGCGGACAGAAAAGUCAGAAGUGAAAUCCCAGGGCUCAACCCUGGAAUUGCUUUUGAAACUCUCUGUCUAGUAUCCCGGAGGGGUUGACGGAAUUCCGAGUGUAGAGGUGAAAUUCGCAGAUAUUCGGAGGAACACCAGUGGCGUAGGCGGUCAACUGGACGGGUAUAGACGCUGAGAUACGAAAGCGUGGGUAGCAAACAGGAUUAGAUACCCUGGUAGUCCACGCCGUAAACGAUGUGUGCUAGUUGUCGGGUCCAUAGGAUUCGGUGACGCAGCUAACGCACUAAGCACACCGCCUGGGGAGUACGGUCGCAAGAUUA
rnacentral:rRNA from 1 species